UGCGCAGGCGGCCAAGUGUGCGAGGCGUGAAAGCCCGAGGCUCAACCUCGGAAUUGCACCUCAAACUACAUGGCUAGAGCAUUGGAGAGGGUAGCGGAAUUCACGGUGUAGCAGUGAAAUGCGUAGAUAUCGUGAGGAACACCAGAGGCGAAGGCGGCUACCUGGACAAUUGCUGACGCUCAGGCACGAAAGCGUGGGGAGCAAAAGGGAUUAGAUACCCCUGUAGUCCACGCCCUAAACGGUGCACACUAGGUCUUGGCGGAUUCGACCCCCCCAGGGCCCAAGCUAACGCGUUAAGUGUGCCGCCUGAGGACUACGGCCGCAAGGCUAAA
rnacentral:rRNA from 1 species